UAUUGCUUGUAGGACUGAAAUUAAUAAAGGAAGCUUUUCAAUCCAAUAGUGGUGGUUUCCUGCAUAAAAACAGUGCUUGAUGUUCUUAAUCCAAACUCAAGCAUGCGGUUGAUUUAGCCAAGUGCAGGCCAACUCAAGUGGUAUGUGAUGUUGGUGUUCACAUUUAUAGAAUAUAAUUAUUUUGCAUGCGUACACUCAAAUUUGGCAUGUUAACUGGACUCUAUUUUUUUUGUUGUUAUGCCAUUUCCUUUUUGGUGUGAUGGUUCCAUGUCUUGUCAUAAUUCUUGGGUCCUUCAGCUGUACCAGGCUAGUAUAGCUCUCUUCCCCUGUUAUUUUAUAUUGGGGGUGUAGGUGGUGUGAUGAUCCUGUGGGUGCUCAGCUGAUGCAUUAGCAGAUUUUUAUGUUGUCUGCAGUGUCUCCAAUGAAGAUGUCUUUGGCAUUGCAGAAUGUCAGAAAUGUUCUUAAGCCAAGUGGUACCUUACUUUUCAGAGACUAUGCCAUGGGGGAUUAUGCUCAAAUAUCUUGUUUCUUCAGUAUUUCCAUUUACUGGUUUUGUGCCUAUCGGAUAUUUGUCUUCCCACAAGGCGCAAGGAUAUUUAUGUCUCUUUUAUUAUGUUAUCGUAAUUGCUGAUCAAAAUUAACAGGAGAAACUUGCCAAGAAAUGUCAGAUAAUUAGCAAUAACUUCUAUGUCCGUGGUGAUGGCACUGUGGGUGGUUUUUUUCUACCUGGUGGUUCAUUUCUUAAUAAAAUUCUCUAUUUUUGAUUGCAACCUCAUCUAAAGCUUCAGUAUGGGUGAUUAGAGUGCGCUUUCUACUUCUUCCAAGGUUCAUUUAUCAACCUUGUUUGAAAGAAAUGGCUUUGACACUGU